ACGGAAGGCAGCAGUGGGGAAUAUUGCACAAUGGGCGAAAGCCUGAUGCAGCGACGCCGCGUGAGUGAAGAAGUAUCUCGGUAUGUAAAGCUCUAUCAGCAGGGAAGAAAAUGACGGUACCUGACUAAGAAGCCCCGGCUAACUACGUGCCAGCAGCCGCGGUAAUACGCAGGGGGCAAGCGUUAUCCGGAUUUACUGGGUGUAAAGGGAGCGUAGACGGUUUGGCAAGUCUGAAGUGAAAUGCGGGGGCUCAACUCCUGAACUGCUUUGGAAACUGUCGAACUAGAGUGCAGGAGAGGUAAGUGGAAUUCCUAGUGUAGCGGUGAAAUGCGUAGAUAUUAGGAGGAACACCAGUGGCGAAGGCGGCUUACUGGACUGUAACUGACGUUGAGGCUCGAAAGCGUGGGGAGCAAACAGGAUUAGAUACCCUGGUA
rnacentral:rRNA from 2 species